rnacentral:tRNA from 1 species
GGAGGUAUAGCUCAGUGGUUGAGUGUAUGCCUAGCCUGCAGGAGGUCCUGGGUUCAAUCCCCAGUACCUCCA